rnacentral:rRNA from 1 species
UACGUAGGCAGCGAGCGUUGUUCGGAGUUACUGGGCGUAAAGGGUGUGUAGGCGGUUCUUUAAGUUUGGUGUGAAAUCUCCCGGCUCAACUGGGAGGGUGCGCCGAAUACUGAGGGACUAGAGUGCGGGAGAGGAAAGUGGAAUUCCUGGUGUAGCGGUGAAAUGCGUAGAUAUCAGGAGGAACACCGGUGGUGUAGACGGCUUUCUGGACCGUAACUGACGCUGAGACACGAAAGCGUGGGUAGCAAACAGG